GACAACCAUGUUUUAUUCAUGUUCCAUAUCACAUCCAAAGGCUUAUUCUUUUUUCACAGAAUUCUGAGGAAUCUCCAACCAUCUCAACUGGUAAACAACCAACUGUUUCACCUACUUCAACUUCAUCUGUAACUACAACAACUUCUAGACCUUCAACCCCAAAUGUAAAGAGUAGGACGACGACAUCUAGACAUUCAACCCAAA
rnacentral:lncRNA from 1 species